UGGCGCUUGCAAUCUUCUUUCUCUUGUUGAUUCUACCGGAGUGAUUUUUUGGGUAUUGUUUUUGCUGAUCUCGUUGUGGCAUUUCGACAAGCAGAUUGAUGUUGCUCCCCUGGCCCCUCCGAGACGGACGUCUGUUCGAUUCCGAAGGUCUUGGCUCCACUGCCUCUGAAGAUGCACCUCUGUGCUGCGAGGGAGACUUUGAACGUUCGACGGUGCAGAUACUCUGCUACUGCUUGCUUUUUCGUUGUGUUCUUUUUCACCAAAGGUUCUGGAUUGACAAGAUGCUUUCAACUUUGAAAUAGAUCUGAUGAGUGAUCUCUUGAUCAUGAGAAGUGUCAAACAAUGUUGUUGGUCAGGUCAUAUAUGUAAUGAACAUAAAUUCCUGAUCCUAAUUCUACUCAUUAUUGGCUGUUAUCCUGUGCGAGGUAUUUCGAUUGAAAUUCAACUUGUCAAGAUAUUUUUUGUUUUAGUACUUAAAAAAAUAGCUUUGUGAAUCUUUUGUAGAUAUUUGUUGCUAGUAUUUCUUCCUUGAUAGUGCAUUUACCCUAAAGAAAAGGAGGAACCUUUUUUUGUUCUUGUCGGUGCUCAUUAUAUUGUGGUGCGGAUGAUAUUUACACUCUCAACUGCUCUUAUAACGCUUAUUGCUCUGUACUCAUGGAAAUAUAUGACAGAUUUCAUCUCUAUAUCCCCAAGGAGUUUCAAGAAAGAAUCCUGUCUUAUAAACAGUUGAUGUGGGUUUAACGCACAUAGUUUUGUUUGUAUACCUAAUGAUGUUCGAUAACAUUUCCUGCUUUGGAAUUAGUCAAUCUUUCGUCUCCCAUUAGUUUCUUGGAACCUGUUUGUGUGACUGCAAUUUAGUCUUGUGCUUUGAUUGUAAAUGUGGAGGAUAUCUAUCUUAGUGUACGGUUGUGCUCCUAAUGUUGUCAUAUUUCUGUUUCUUCAUAUGUAUAUUUCAUUUUGCUAUUGAAGUAUCAAUUUGGCAUUAUUGUAUUUCUUUACUUCAAGUCUUGCAUUAUAUUGGCUCAUAUCUAUUGACAUAUUCUUGUACAUUUUUCCAUGUCAUACAUGGCUUCUUAGAUAUGAGUCGUUUGUUACUAGUGAGUUUUACAUUAGCAAAUGUCUACUGAUAAAACUUGGGCCUUGCAAGCAUAUUAGGCAAAAAAACCUAGAGAAGUUUGCUGCCUAUCAAGUCUUGAAAGGGUCCGUUUGCCUCUCUUAUACUGGAUCUUGUAAGUGAAUCCUGUUUAAUCUUCUAAUGUCUUAUGCAUGUCAUAUGCUAUCUACCAUAUUUUAGCAUCAUGUCUACCUUACAGCAUUCCUAAAUUGUUCACCUUUUACAUAGUCUUCUCCUUAGGAAUCAUGAACUGUGAACUCGAUCUCUACUUCCUUGCUCAGAAAUUGUUGAAGCUCAGACACAGUUCAACUCCGGUCCCUUACAGUUUAGGACUCUGUAAACUUAGUCGACAAGUUAACUAACCUAAUAUUUCCUAUAUUUUGCCAAAACAUGCAAGAAUUAUCACUCCUACAGGGUUGAUGUUGAAGUCUAAUGUAAUACUUUGGUUUUCAUAUUGCGUAAUCAUAUUUAGAUGUGCUUCGAGUGUAACACCAUUUUCAUGAAUGAUUAGGUGCAUGAAGCUUGCAGAAGUUUCAUCAUUUUCAAUUUUUCACAGUUAUAUAAGAUAUCAUAUGCAUUUUUCCUUUGUAGGUUUUCUUAACAAAACAUUAUAAAAACGGACGUUUAGGUGAUGCAGGUUUUGUUCUGGAUCUUGAAUAAAUUUGUCAUUGACUCGAAAUCAAAAUCCACUACAAGAGCUGUAAUCUUGGUAAGAUUCUGUAUAUGUUAAUCUGCAAACAUUCUUGAAGUGUGUUAAUGUGACCCUCAAACUCAACUACAGUAUAUAGAAACUUACAAACAAAAGAUCUGAGAUACAGCAUUGAUAUGUAAAAUAAUGUUUUAGUAUCAACACAAGGUCGAUCAAGUUCUACCUUCUUUAGUUAAUAGAAUUAACAUGCAAUUGUUUUCCCUAUUUACAUCUACAAUGACUAUCAAUGUAGAUGUUUCUGACAAUAACUCUGGCGCAACAGAGUCCAGUUACUAUAUGAACCUCCUGUUAGAAGAAAUUUAGUAAAAUUAUUUAUGGCAAUCUAAAGAUGAGUGAAGCCUUCCACGAUGUGCAUAUCUCUUUGCAUACUUGUCAAACCUUGUUUUUCAGAUUUAUGUAAGGAAGAUAGAAGAAAUGAGCUUCUAAUCAUUCCAUGGUGGUGGAAACUCAUUCAUGAUUAUGGACAAGAGCCCAAGGGAUUGUCAUAGACAGAGAAGAGUGAGCAAAAAUAAGAUAAAUGGAGAAGAAAACCUUGUGAAGCUUCGAAAGUUGAGUUUUUCCAAUUGGUUUUGAUUAGCUUAAAUCUCAAUCGUAUUCUUUAUGAAGUUAAAUGCAGGGCUGCUUAUCCAUAUGGCUUCGGAGCUGCUUAUACAACAUGAUUAUUUUAUCUGUCCUCUAAUUUAUUAAGAUCAAUCUGUUGUGACUUUGAAGCACUUGUCUGGGAACAUUAAAAUUGGGAAUUAGUGCCUCAUUUUAAUUUUUCAUUUAGGAAACUUUAUGAUCGAAAAAGUCGACUAUAGAUGGUUA